rnacentral:sRNA from 1 species
AUUCUGCCCAAGCGGGGAAGGAUGAGAAGCUUCGACUAAGGUUCGACUCGAGCGCCAGCGAGAGAGCGUUGCCGCAAGCAACGACCCGAAGGGCGAAGCGCGCAGCGCUGAGUAAUCCUUCCCCCACCACCA